rnacentral:rRNA from 1 species
UACAGAGGUCUCAAGCGUUGUCCGGAAUCAUUGGGCGUAAAGCGCGCGUAGGCGGUCAGGUAAGUCCGGUGUGAAAGUCAAAGGCUCAACCUUUGAAUGCCGCUGGAUACUGCCUGACUUGAGUCCGGAAGGGGCGAGUGGAAUUCCUGGUGUAGCGGUGAAAUGCGCAGAUAUCAGGAGGAACACCAAUGGCGAAGGCAGCUCGCUGGGACGGUACUGACGCUAAGGCGCGAAAGCGUGGGGAGCGAACAGG